CACACAAUCGGUUUGAAGCAAAGUGUAGUGUUUGACAACAAAAUGAAACACAAAAAAACCUUUUAUAGUGUAUAUUUAGAAACAAAGUCAAUGAAAAAAGUCGCUUUGUAGUACACACAUAAAAUUCUUAGCUUUCGAAUUAUUUUCUCUAUUUGCUUUGAUUAAAUUUUUGUUUUGUGAAUUCACUCAAAAAAAUUAUGUCAUCCAGAGCAUUUGCCCAGAAAUUAUCUAAACAUCAAGCAAGCGAUGUGCGGAAAAAUGUUGCCAAUUUUCACUUAAAUGCAAAAAGUGAAAGCUGCAGUUCUGCUGGUUCGGCUGGUUCAUCAUCGGUAUGGUUCUUUUUGUAUUUAAAUUAAAUUUUAAAUUUACG